rnacentral:rRNA from 1 species
GCCCAGACUCCUACGGGAGGCAGCAGUAGGGAAUCUUCCACAAUGGACGAAAGUCUGAUGGAGCAACGCCGCGUGAGUGAUGAAGGCCUUCGGGUCGUAAAGCUCUGUUGUUAGGGAAGAACAAGUGCGAGAGUAACUGCUCGCACCUUGACGGUACCUAACCAGAAAGCCACGGCUAACUACG